GCUCAACCGAGGAAGUGCUUCGAAAACUGGUAAACUUGAGUGCAGAAGAGGAAAGUGGAACUCCAUGUGUAGCGGUGGAAUGCGUAGAUAUAUGGAAGAACACCAGUGGCGAAGGCGGCUUUCUGGUCUGUAACUGACGCUGAGAUUCGAAAGCAUGGGUAGCAAACAGGAUUAGAUACCCUGGUAGUCCAUGCCGUAAACGAUGAGUGCUAAGUGUUGGAGGGUUUCCGCCCUACAGUGCUGCAGCUAACGCAUUAAGCACUCCGCCUGGGGAGUACGACCGCAAGGUUGAAACUCAAAGGAAUUGACGGGGGCCCGCACAAGCGGUGGAGCAUGUGGUUUAAUUCGAAGCAACGCGAAGAACCUUACCAGGUCUUGACAUACCAUGAAAAGCUUAGAGAUAAGUCUUUCCCUUCGGGGACAUGGAUACAGGUGGUGCAUGGUUGUCGUCAGCUCGUGUCGUGAGAUGUUGGGUUAAGUCCCGCAACGAGCGCAACCCUUAUUAUCAGUUGCCAGCAUUCAGUUGGGCACUCUGGUGAGACUGCCGGUGACAAACCGGAGGAAGGUGGGGACGACGUCAAAUCAUCAUGCCCCUUAUGACCUGGGCUACACACGUGCUACAAUGGUCGGUACAACG
rnacentral:rRNA from 1 species